ensembl:lncRNA
UUUUUUGGGCUGUACCGGCAGCAUAUGGAGGUUCCCAGGCUAGGGGUGGAGUCAGAGCUACGGCUGCCAGCCUCCACCACAGCAAUGUGGAAUCCAAGCUACAUCUACACUACAGCUCAUGGCAAUGCCAGGUCCUUAACCCACUGAGCGAGGCUAGGGAUCCAACCUGCAAUCUCCUGUUUCCUAGUUGGAUUUGUUUCCACUGGGCCUCAGCAGAGCUCCACUUAUACUUAAAAAGUCUCUUAGCAAACAGUGUAGAGGUGACUUUUGCUAAAAAUAUGGAAUAAGUAUGCAUGUAAAAAUAAAAAGUCAUUUAUUUCAAUAAAAAAUUAUUUUUUACAUAAGCAUUCAUGCAGCAAAUAGGUCCAUAGCUGACAGGACUUUUUUUGUUGUUUUUUUAGGUUUGCACCCAAGGCAUAUGGAAGUUCCCAGGCUAGGGGUCAAAUGGGAGCUGUAGCCGCCAGUCUACGCCAGAGCCACAGCAAUGCUGGAUCCGAGCCGUGUCUGCAACCUACACCACAGCUCACGGCAACGCCGGAUCGUUAACCCACUGAGCAAGGGCAGGGACCGAACCCACAACCUCAUGGUUCCUAGUCGGAUUCGUUAACCACUGCGCCACGACGGGAACUCCUUAUGUAGAAUAUUUAGGUAUGGAUACUUAAGUUUUUACAAAUGGCUUCUAAUUUUUAUUUGCAGAAUUUACAGGAACAGAAACUUAGUGCAUGUGGAACUGAUAACUGUUCAUUCAGUCCUUUUAGUUUGAAAUAGGAAAUCAUAAAAAAAACGAGACACAUACAUUUGGAACUAAACAUUUAAUAAAUCAAAACUUUCACAUUCAUUUGUGAAUUUUUUAUGUGUUUGUGGGGGUCAAUCCAUACCUUUUCUUUGAGGAUGGAUUCCAUAAUUAGAAAUCAUUGUUGUCUUCUUUGAACACACAUUGUUUUUCUUGAGCAAACUUCUGAAAGAGAAGUUUCAUAUCAGAUUCUUUAAAGUGGAGCCAAAACUUAGACACUUACUGAACUGAGUGCAGAACCCUGUACAUUUUAUUAUCUUCUGUCACUACUUUACACUUGUUUUACCUACAUCUAAUUUAACAUUAACUUAAAAAAUGACCCACUUUUAUCAACUUUUUCAGAAGCAUUGAAUUUUCAGGGAAAUAACUUUUUUUUUUUGCACUCAUUGUUUUAUGUUACAGUUAAUUGAAUUAUAUAAAUCCAGUAGCAAAUAUUACCACCCUUAAUAGGUUUGAGAGCAAACAAAAUUUCUUAGGCAUGCAAAUCAAAUGAUGGGAACAGAAAUACGAUGGCCUACUAGAAAGAGAAAGAAAUAAUUUCCAUUAAGAUUUUUGCCUUUGGAAAUCUUCUUUGUUCCAUAUGCCUGGUAUUAUCCACUCAUCAUCACAUCAAAUCAUCUUUGAGAGGUAUCUCAGAGAGAUCUGCCCUGAGGUAGCUCUGAGAGAUCAGCCCUGAUAUACUCACCUUCCAGCUUCCCCAUGCUCCUAGGUUUUUAGUAGAUUCCUGUAGUCCCUUCAUGUUACUCAUAUAUUUUCCUUCUGCAUCAUAAUUUUCCCAUUUCUUGGAUUAUUACCAUCAACAUACUAGGAGAAAAAUCCUCUCUUGACCUUUUCAUUCCCCUCAUUAUUGCCCUAAUUCUCUAUAUUUGUUACUUAAAAUGCUGUCCUUAUCAUUCUUUCUUAAUCUAGCUUCAGUCAUGCUUUGGUUCAUUAUCAAUUUCACUGAAACUAUUCUUGCCAGUGUCUCUGAUGACCUCUGUGACUUCAGUCAGUUCUCAGUUCUGAUGUUUCUUGACAGACUUACAGCAUUUGACACAUGUUACCACUCUAUCCUCUUUGAAACAUUUUUACUUUUCCUUCCAAAAUUUCAUAUUUUGUUUUUUCCUAUUAAUUUCCUAUUUGCCGUUUAUUUGCUUGUUUCUCUUCAUCUCUCCAUCCAUGUCUCAGGCUUCAGUCCUUGCAUAUUCUGUUCUUUCACUGUCAUCACUCUGUUAGUGAAAUAAUUCAGUCCCCUGGAUUUAGAUAGCAUCUAAAUGCUUAUGACUUCCAAAUUUGCUUAUUUCUUUUUUGAAAGUUGAAUUUUUAAAAUUGUGAUAUAAUUGACAUAUAACAUUAUUUUAGUUUGAGGUGUACAACAUAAUGAUUGGAUAUAUGUGUAUAUUGUGAAAUGCUCACUAUGAUAAGCCUUGUUAACAUCUAUUACUACAUAGAGUUACAACAUUUUAAAAAUUUGUGCUGAGAACUUUUAAGAUUUAUCCCUUUAGCAACUUUUCAAAUAUACAAUACAGUAUUAUGAACUAUUGCCACCAUAUUGUACAUUACAUGCCAUGACAUUUAUUUUAUAUUUGAUCCUUUCACCUGUUUUGCCCACCACCCCUAUCCCUCACCUAUGGCAACCACCAGUUUGUUCUCUGUAUCUGUGAGUUUGUUGUGUUUUGGUUUUUGUGUAAAUGAAAUCGUAUGAUAUUUGUCUUUCUCAGACUUAUUUUAGCAUAAUAUCCACCAGGUCCAUACAUGUUAUUGCAGAUGCCAGGAUUUCCUUUUUUUUGCUGGGGGGAGUCUUUUUGCCAU